GAUACAUAUGGAAGCAAUGAGUGAAUCAGCUUUAUGAAAAAAAAAUCACACACUUAGCAAACCGAAUACAAAAAUUAGUAAAAAAAAAAAAACUUCACACAACUUGAAGGGAUUAAUAUCUUAUGAGAAAAUGCACAACAAAAAUCAGAAGAGGCUCAGGUAAAUAGAGAUACUUGAAUUUAUGCAUAAGAUCUAGGAAGAGGAGAAAGAUUUAAGUUAACAUGAACAGAAGUUUUGAGAAGG
rnacentral:lncRNA from 1 species